CACGAAGGGUUGAUUGACGCUGAGGCACGAAAGCGUGGGGAUCAAACAGGAUUAGAUACCCUGGUAGUCCACGCAGUAAACGAUGAUGGCUAACCGCUGGGUAAUACUAUUCAGUGGCCAAGCGAAAGCGAUAAGCCAUCCACCUGGGGAGUACGACCGCAAGGUUGAAACUCAAAGGAAUUGACGGGGGCCCGCACAAGCGGAGGAACAUGUGGUUUAAUUCGAUGAUACGCGAGGAACCUUACCCGGGCUCGAACGGCUGGCGAAGAGAUCCAGAGAUGGUGACGUCCUUCGGGACGCCAGUCGAGGUGCUGCAUGGUUGUCGUCAGCUCGUGCCGUGAGGUGUCGGCUCAAGUGCCAUAACGAGCGCAACCCUUGCCGUCAGUUACCAUCAAGUAGAGUUGGGGACUCUGGCGGGACUGCCACCGCAAGGUGUGAGGAAGGGGGGGAUGACGUCAAAUCAGCACGGCCCUUACGUCCGGGGCGACACACGUGUUACAAUGGCGGCCACAGAGGGGCACUACCUGGUGACAGGAUGGGAAUCUCGAAAAGCCGUCUCAGUCCGGAUCGGAGUCUGCAACCCGACUCCGUGAAGCUGGA
rnacentral:rRNA from 1 species